GUUGUGGCUCAGUGGUAAAGCACUUGCCUCAUAUGUGUGGGUUCAAUUCUGGGUUCAAUUCUCAGCACCACA
rnacentral:tRNA from 1 species